AGCGAACGUUUGCGGCGGGCUUAACACAUGCAAGUCGAACGGGCUGUUCCUUCGGGGGCAGUCAGUGGCGCACGGGUGCGUAACACGUAGGUAAUCAACCCUCUGGUUGGGGAUAACACUUCGAAAGGAGUGCUAAUACCCGGUAUGGCGCAGCGGUCUUCGGAUCGCGGCGAGAAAGACCCGCAAGGGUUGCCAGAGGACGAGCCUGCGGCCCAUCAGCUAGUUGGCGAGGUAACGGCUCACCAAGGCGAAGACGGGUAGCCGGUCUGAGAGGAUGAUCAGCCACACUGGAACUGAGACACGGUCCAGACUCCUACGGGAGGCAGCAGUGGGGAAUAUUGCGCAAUGGGCGAAAGCCUGACGCAGCCACGCCGCGUGAGCGAUGAAGGCCU
rnacentral:rRNA from 1 species